rnacentral:rRNA from 1 species
GACGAACGCUGGCGGCGUGCCUAAUACAUGCAAGUCGAGCGAAGUUUUUCUGGUGCUUGCACCGGAAAAACUUAGCGGCGAACGGGCGAGUAACACGUAAAGAACCUGCCUCAUAGACUGGGACAACUAUUGGAAACGAUAGCUAAUACCGGAUAAUAGCAUUAACUGCAUGGUUGAUGUUUAAAAGUUGGUUUUGCUAACACUGUGAGAUGGCUUUGCGGUGCAUUAGCUAGUUGGUGGGGUAAAGGCCUACCAAGGCGACGAUGCAUAGCCGACCUGAGAGGAUGAUCAGCCACACUGGAACUGAGACACGGCCCAGACUCCUACGGGAGGCAGCAGUAGGGAAUCUUCGGCAAUGGGCGCAAGCCUGACGCAGCAACACCGCGUGAGUGAAGAAGGACUUCGGGUCGUAAAGCUCUGUUGUUAGGGAAGAAUAGCUGUAUAGUAAUACUCCGCUGUUGUGACGGUACCUAAACAGAAAGCCACGGCUAACUACGUG